rnacentral:rRNA from 1 species
UACGUAGGGUGCGAGCGUUGUCCGGAAUUACUGGGCGUAAAGAGCUCGUAGGUGGUUUGUCGCGUUGUUCGUGAAAACCGGGGGCUUAACCCUCGGCGUGCGGGCGAUACGGGCAGACUUGAGUACUGCAGGGGAGACUGGAAUUCCUGGUGUAGCGGUGGAAUGCGCAGAUAUCAGGAGGAACACCGAUGGCGAAGGCAGGUCUCUGGGCCACUACUGACGCUGAGAAGCGAAAGCGUGGGGAGCGAACAGG